CUCCCCAAGAUGGCGGCGCCUGCCUGCCGCGGAAUCCCCUUCCCAAGAUGGCGGCGGCGGGGGGGUGUCGCCGGGCCUUGAGGAAGAUGGAGAGCCCUGCGCGGCAUGGAGGAGCUGCCCCGAGGCGGCGGCUCUCCAGGAGGCAGAGGUCUCCUCUCUGCACAGCGUUGGGGUGCUGAGCAGCGGUGUUGCGCGUGGAGCUCCUGCACGCCUCAUGUCGUGUGGGGGGAGCCGUGUGGAAGCGCGGGGCCUCCUGUCGCAGUGAAGCGUGUGCCUGGAGGCUGGAGCCAGCUUUGUCUUACUGCCCGUUUGCAUGCACGCUGUCCUGGCCUUGGCUGCACCUGCAGAGCAGCUGCAGCGUUUAAAUAUGUGCCUUGGUGUCAUCUGAUUCAGGCACUGUUUUAACCGAAUUUGCCUUUCUAAGGCAACGGUAGGAAGCUGCCGCUGCGCCUUCCCCUCAUCUGUGCAGAAACGCCUUUGUUUCACAUUAGCCUGGAGGAUUUUUUUUUUCCUGUUAGAAGGGAUUUUGCCAUGUGCAUAAAUGAGCCAGUCCCGCUGAGCUGUGCGAGGCCCCCCCGCUCAGGCCGUCCCUGCUGGCAGCCCCGGCAGAUGCAGACGUGCAAGCAGGAAGCCCUGUCGGGAUGCGAAACCUUUGCUCGGCUGCUGCGGGAGGGCUCCACUCCAGCGCUUGCGUCCCGACGAGGCGUGCCGCUGCUGCCUCCCGGUGGACUUCGAUUCGGAAAUGGAAACCGCCAGACGGCCAAGGGGAGGGAGAGCAGGUCCGUGGCAGCAGCCCCGAGGGAGCGCCAGCCUUGCCGGCUAGCCGGAGCACCGCACCGGUGCUGCUUCCUCCGGCAAAAUACCAACCUGGGUUCAGCCGGUCCCAGCCCCUGGAGGCUCGGCGGCUUGGGAAAAGCACCAGUCUCGCUUCUGGUGCGCGUGUCAGAGAUGGUAAAUCACUGAACCGAGGGCUGCUCCCCUCCCUGCUCUCCCUGCCAUCUCCAGCGCAGCCAGAGUCGGAGCUUGUCGGAACCAGGCACCAGCCUCGCUUCGAAUUUACAGUGGGAUUUUAAGCCCUCUCUGCCGAGCCGUUGCAAAAGGCCAUGAGGCAACUCUUAUUUUAUGCUAGGUUUAAUUGACAGAAGCCAACCUGAAAUAGAAACUGCUGCGUGGAGUCUUGCACCAGUCCUGGUGAGUCAACAGGAGAACUGCCUGCUCUGCAAAACACUCCUGGGGCCCAAAUGCCAGCCGUGAGCAGGCUUUUCUAGCUGCCAAGGACAACGCUGAGGACCUUCCCAUUGGUGCCGGACAGCCAAGUCUCAGGCUGGGAUGAGUGAUGAGAAAGGCACCCGGUAGUGGCUGGAAGGAAUGCGUCCUCUGGCCUGGCUGGGAAGGAUGCGCAGGCCACGAGGUCAGUGCCAGAGACGAUGUGUGUUUGCAUUGAGAAAUCCCCCAGAUUUAGCUCUUAAUGGGUAAUUAAAAUUCCAGCUGCUCCUUGGUAAUAGCCUCUCCAGCCCAUGGGAAACCCACAGACAGUGACGCUGCAGGCGGAAAUCAGAACUCGGCCAGUGACUAAACAAAAAGGGAGCCCGAGAGCCAACACAAAUGGAAGUGCUGCUCUCGACCUUUUAUCCUGUCCAGGCUUGGCCCUGAUGUAAACCGGUUCUGGCUGGGAUUGGGUUAGUGGGAAGCCACUGACCUGACCUGUGAAACCCCGGCUCAGGGCUCUGCAAGCCGGAAUUUUUGGCACUUGAAAAUCAUCAUUGUUUCCGUGGCUGUGUUUGGUUCCCAUGAGCCACUCGCUAAAUGGCAUCACCAGACCGACAGCCGCACUGGUGGUCUCAAAACAGAGACCAGACCUGAAAGAGGCCAAAACUAUUCCUGGAGGUUGAACUCUUGCUCUCCGCCUGGAACGGAGUAGAGGUCUGAACUCGGGGCUCUCGCGGUGCUGGUAGGCAACAGCUUCAGGCUCUAGGCCCCUCAAAAUGGCAGCUUUUCUCCAUCUCUAGUAACACUGAUAAAGAGAAAUUCAGGACUCUGAAUGCAACCAUUCAUAGGUAAAAAGAAAAAACCAAGUUUUUCCAUUUGCUUUUAAGGCUAUUGGAAUUUUUAAUUUUAGAAAUGCAGUUUGUGCACACACACAUGUAAAAUGAUGUGUCAGAAACAGGCCUAAGAAGAUUUAAAAAGAAAUCUCUAACGUUGAAGUUAAAGCACAUAAGGAUUUGGCAAAGACUUCAAGAGCCAGUUUCUGAUCCUGAUGAAGUCAGUGGAAGUGUUGCCAUUGACUUCAAUAGGAUCAUAACUUGGCUGUAACUCAGUAGGAAACUGAAGGUGUUGAUUAAUAAACUGGAGACAAUGCAGAAGAAAACUGCUAAACUUCUUCCCAACAGAUGUGCUGAAGAACAGCCUGUAAGUCAAAUUAUGCAGGAAAGGAAUGGUUUCCUUUGUAUUUGCAAACAGAAACAGGAAAAGGAAAGCUACCUGAUAUUCAUGUAACAUGUUAAAACUGGUAUUAAUAAAUGUGUGUCUUUCUGAAAAAAUUUCUGUUUCCAGUGGGUAGGUCAUUCUUUAAAAAAAAAAUGUAUUUGCAAAUGCCAAACCAAGUGUUCAACAAAUUCCUUUUUCUCAAAAGUGACUAGUCAGUGGAAAACUUUACCACUGGAGACUGUGAAUUCUGGAGAUUGUCCUCAGAGUUUUGCGUGUGUAUUUUUAUUACUCAUUGUUGGCUGUUUGCAUGACAAUUUGUACAUGACUCUCCUCUACUAAAAUUCUGACAAAGGUUAGCAAUGCCUCAGUAAGCUAUUCAUACUGCAGAUGCAUUUUCAGGCUGAGUCUACAAAUCAUUUAAAGCUGAAAAAUAUUCCCUCAAUACACUUUACAGCAGUUCACAGUUGAAAAACUUCCUGUUUGCCCCUUUCUGUUUUCUAAGCUUUCAAGUUACUUGGACUUAGGCAAGAUAUUCAAAGAUCUUUGGAGAAAAGAUAUCUGAGGGAAGUGAAGUGUUUAAGGGUAAGAAGCAUUUGACUUCCCUGAAUGCUUUGGAGUGCAUUAAUAAAUGUGUAGUCAUAA